UACGUAGGGGGCAAGCGUUGUCCGGAUUUAUUGGGCGUAAAGAGCGUGUAGGCGGCCAUACAGGUCCGUUGUGAAAACUCGAGGCUCAACCUCGAGACGUCGAUGGAAACCGUAUGGCUAGAGUCCGGAAGAGGAGAGUGGAAUUCCGUGGUGUAGCGGUGAAAUGCGCAGAUAUCAGGAAGAACACCCGUGGCGAAGGCGGCUCUCUGGGACGGUACUGACGCUGAGACGCGAAAGCGUGGGGAGCGAACAGG
rnacentral:rRNA from 1 species